rnacentral:sRNA from 1 species
UUAAUGUUACUCCGUAGCUAAUAAAUGUGGCUAGUGGAUGUCUGAGUGCUGGGGCCCCAGCUAGAGCUGCCCCUCCUGUCUGGGGCAGACGCCGCGGGGAGCCCCACGCUCAGCCCAGGUGGCGCGAGCUGGUAUUUGGUCCCAAAAACUGCUGAGAGCCAGAGAUUCGAAUGAAGUGAUAAAUCCUGAGGUUUAUUUUACAUGGAGUGUUUAAAGAGCAGAAGGAAGUGCGUGAUAAGUGCCCUUUCGCGGUGAGCACGCGAGCCUCACAUUCUCUACCCUUCCCGCUCUGUGCUCUUGGCAGCUCCCCUCCCACCCGGUCACUCCGUCCAGCAAGCACGCAGACAGCAAGCCCGCGCCGCUGACGCCCGCCUACCACACGCUCCCCCACCCGUCCCACCAUGGUACCCCCCACACCACCAUCAACUGGGGACCCCUGGAGCCUCCGAAAACACCCAAGCCCUGGAGCCUGAGCUGCCUGCGGCCCGCGCCUCCCCUCCGGCCCUCAGCUGCUCUCUGCUACAAGGAGGAUCUUAGUAAGAGCCCCAAGACCAUGAAAAAACUGCUGCCCAAGCGCAAACCUGAACGGAAGCCUUCAGAUGAGGAGUUCGCGUCCCGG